rnacentral:lncRNA from 1 species
UCCAAGGGACCCCCCGGAAAAGACGGAAUUCCAGGACACCCCGGGCAGAGAGGAGACGCCGGAUUCCAAGGCAAGCCGGGCCCCCCCGGCCCCCCCGG